AUUGAACGCUGGCGGCAUGCUUUACACAUGCAAGUCGAACGGUAACAGGCCGCAAGGUGCUGACGAGUGGCGAACGGGUGAGUAAUGCAUCGGAACGUGCCCAGUCGUGGGGGAUAACGCAGCGAAAGCUGUGCUAAUACCGCAUACGAUCUAUGGAUGAAAGCGGGGGACCGUAAGGCCCCGGGCGAUUGGAGCGGCCGACGUCAGAUUAGGUAGUUGGUGGGGUAAAGGCAUACCAAGCCAACGAUCUGUAGCUGGUCUGAGAGGACGACCAGCCACACUGGGACUGAGACACGGCCCAGACUCCUACGGGAGGCAGCAGUGGGGAAUUUUGGACAAUGGGCGCAAGCCUGAUCCAGCAAUGCCGCGUGCAGGAAGAAGGCCUUCGGGUUGUAAACUGCUUUUGUACGGAACGAAACGGUCUGGGUUAAUACCCUGGACUAAUGACGGUACCGUAAGAAUAAGCACCGGCUAACUACGUGCCAGCAGCCGCCGCCGUAA
rnacentral:rRNA from 1 species